ensembl:ncRNA C53D6.20 ncRNA
AGGUGUAAUGUGUGUUGAAAUGAGAGCAAAUUAUGUUAAGCUUAAGAUAACAUUGUGGAUGAA